rnacentral:rRNA from 1 species
AGCAGCCGCGGUAAUUCCAGCUCCAAUAGCGUAUAUUAAAGUUGUUGCAGUUAAAAAGCUCGUAGUUGAAUUUCGGGAUUAGUACGUUGGUCGUACCUUAGGUACGUACUGGUGUUACUGGUUCCUACCUUCUGACGAACCAUCAUGUCAUUAAUUUGGUGUGGCGGGGAAUCAGGACUGUUACUUUGAAAAAAUUAGAGUGUUUAAAGCAGGCUCGCGCUUGAAUACAUUAGCAUGGAAUAAUGAAAUAGGACGUUGACCCUAUUUUGUUGGUUUCUAGGAUUGACGUAAUGAUUAAUAGGGAUAGUUGGGGGCAUUAGUAUUCAAUUGUCAGAGGUGAAAUUCUUGGAUUUAUUGAAGACUAACUACUGCGAAAGCAUUUGCCAAGGAUGUUUUCAUUAAUCAAGAACGAAAGUUAGGGGAUCGAAGACGAUCAGAUACCGUCGUAGUCUUAACCAUAAACUAUGCCGACUAGGGAUCGGAUGAUGUUAAUUUUUUAAUGACUCAUUCGGCGCCUUACG